rnacentral:rRNA from 1 species
AAGACAACCAGGAUGUUGGCUCAGAAGCAGCCAUACAUUCAAAGAGUGCGUAAUAGCUCACUGGUCGAGAGGUCCUGCGCCGAAAAUGUCCGGGGCUGAAACACGACACCGAAGCUGAGGAAUGUCUGAAGACAUUGGUAGAGGAGCAUUGGAUACGCAACGAAGCAGUACCGGAAGGAGCUGUGGAGUGUAUCGAAGAGAGAAUGCCGGAAUGAGUAGCGAGAGAGAGGUGGGAAUCCUCUCGGCCGAAUAUCUAAGGUUUCCAGGGUAAAGCUGAUCUGCCCUGGGUAAGUCGGGGCCUAAGGCGAGGACGAGAGUCGUAGCCGAUGGACAACAGGUUGAGAUUCCUGUACUGCAGUAAGACAGAACUGUGGGGACACGUGUGGAGAGCAUAGGCGCGGAAUGGAAAGCCGCGUGCAAGCGAGGUAGGAGUCCUGUAGGAAAAACCGCAGGGCAAUCCGAAGGCGUGAUGCGGACCGAAAUCUAGUAGGGAAGUAUGUGAGCCAUGCGUCAAGAAAAGCCGCUAUUGUUCUUAUUGUACCCGUACCGUAAACCGACACAGGUGGAUGAGGAGAGAAUCCUAAGGCCGACGGAAGAAGCAUUGUUAAGGAACUCGGCAAAAUGACCCCGUAACUUCGGGAGAAGGGGUGCCACAGAAAUGUGGCCGCAGAGAAUAGGCUCAAGCAACUGUUUAGCAAAAACACAGGUCUAUGCAAAACCGAAAGGUGAGGUAUAUGGGCUGACGCCUGCCCGGUGCUGGAAGGUUAAGAGGAGAGGUUAGCGCAAGCGAAGCUUUGAAUUGAAGCCCCAGUAAACGGCGGCCGUAACUAUAACGGUCCUAAGGUAGCGAAAUUCCUUGUCGGGUAAGUUCCGACCCGCACGAAAGGCGUAAUGAUUUGAGCGCUGUCUCGACAAUGCAUCCGGUGAAAUUGAAGUACCAGUGAAGAUGCUGGUUACCUGCGCCAGGACGGAAAGACCCCAUGGAGCUUUACUCCAGCUUGAUACUGGGAUUCGGUAUUGCAUGUACAGGAUAGGUGGGAGGCUGAGAAAUGGUAACGCCAGUUGCCAUGGAGCCGUUGUUGGGAUACCACCCUUGCAGUACUGGGUUUCUAACCAGCAGCCGUGACCCGGCUGGGGGACAAUGUCAGGUGGGGAGUUUGACUGGGGCGGUCGCCUCCGAAAGGGUAUCGGAGGCGCUCAAAGGUUCCCUCAGAAUGGUUGGAAACCAUUCGAAGAGUGCAAAGGCAGAAGGGAGCUUGACUGCGACACCGACGGGUGGAGCAGGUACGAAAGUAGGACUUAGUGAUCCGGUGGUAUUAAGUGGGAAUGCCAUCGCUCAACGGAUAAAAGCUACCCUGGGGAUAACAGGCUUAUCACUCCCAAGAGUUCACAUCGACGGAGUGGUUUGGCACCUCGAUGUCGGCUCAUCGCAUCCUGGGGCUGUAGUAGGUCCCAAGGGUUGGGCUGUUCGCCCAUUAAAGCGGUACGCGAGCUGGGUUCA